rnacentral:rRNA from 1 species
UACGUAGGGUGCGAGCGUUGUCCGGAAUUAUUGGGCGUAAAGAGCUUGUAGGCGGUUUGUCGCGUCUGCCGUGAAAAAUUCGAGGCUCAACCUCGAACUUGCGGUGGGUACGGGCAGACUAGAGUGUGGUAGGGGAGACUGGAAUUCCUGGUGUAGCGGUGAAAUGCGCAGAUAUCAGGAGGAACACCGAUGGCGAAGGCAGGUCUCUGGGCCACUACUGACGCUGAGAAGCGAAAGCAUGGGGAGCGAACAGG